AGCUAUAGUCUCCGGUAGCUAGCGGGCUGGCAUGCCCUCUUUUUUUGCGAAGGAUGACGAGUGGAAUUGUGCUGUGCUUUGCAGUAGUAGAAUCUAUAAACUGGAGUGUUUCUGCAAAUUCUAAGAGGUUCUUAACAUUAUCCAGGAUAUUGCCUUGGUGAACAAUCAUGCACCUUGCUGGGGAUGCACUUUCUUCAGAUAGUACUACAGCUUACACCAAUGCAAUGAAGAGGCUGUCAAAUCAACGUGGUUAGGAAAGCAGAAGAGCAAAUUAACAGAAGUUUCUGUCCAGUGGGAUCAUGCAACAGAAGAAAUUGCAAAAUAUUAACUAAAGUUAAAAGUGGUCAGACUAACAUCAUGCAUAUAAUAAUUUGAUUAAACCAAAAAAAUGUAUUCAUAAAAGUAUCUGCUGGCUAUCACUUUUCUUCUUUAUUUCAUUUAUUUUUUUUGUUUAGCUAUUACAGAGGACAGACUGCUUUGCUAAUUUUACUAUCUAAUCACUACAAAAUAUGUCAGAAUUCAGUAAUAGCCAGCACUGGUUUUAUGCAUGCAAUUAAAAGAGCUAACAUUAUUCAUAGAGAAAUAAAAAAAAUACAUGUGUACUGUAUAUGUAAUAUGAAUGUUGAACAUGCACCAAGUCAAGUCUGAAAUUAUGAGGUAUAUAAUAUACAGGUAAAAGAGGGUCUGAAAAGAGAAGAAAAACAAUCUAACAAAUAGGCACCACAUUUUCAUUACAAGAAAUAUUGCUUUUUAAAAAAAAUUCUGAUUUCAAUCAGUGUUA